GGUUUAUUGACUAUCACUACUGGUAGACUAAUCUAAUGUCUAUAAUGAAAUGAUAUAUAAGUUCUAGGCCUACACAGAGAACUAACUAGUAUGAAUAAUGGACAAAAAUACUAUCCCUGAGGCAAUGAGUAAAACUUCAACAAUGCAUUAAGGACUUGAUGAAUUAAUAAUGUUCGACCAGGAGUAGAAUGUAUAUAUAAAUGACCAGUCAAUUGAAAUUUAGAUUCUACAAAGUUGAUCGAUCAUGCUGAAGAGCAGAACAUGUAAACUGCGAUUGUUAUAAAUUGGUGUGUUGAAGAAGAGUCGUAUUUUCCAAGUCUUGUAAUCCCAUUCUAGUAUUACAACAUAUAUCCCGCAGAAUAUUUGAGAAGAGUAGAAUUGUCCAUAUGUUGUAAUCCCAUUCUAGUAUUACAACAUGUAUCCCACAGAAUAUUUGAGAAGAGUAGAAUGUUUCCAUAUGUUGUAAUCCCAUUCUAGUAUUACAACAUGUAUCCCGCAGAAUAUUUGAGAAGAGUAGAAUUUUCCAUAUGUUGUAAUCCCAUUCUAGUAUUACAACAUGUAUCCCGCAGAAUAUUUGAGAAGAGUAGAAUUUCCCAUAUUUGUAAUCCCAUUCUAGUAUUACAACAUGUAUUCCCGCAGAAUAUUUGAGAAGAGUAGAAUUUUCCAUAUGUUGUAAUCCCAUUCUAGUAUUACAACAUGUAUCCCACAGGGUAUUUGAGAAGAGUAGAAUUUUCCAUAUGUUGUAAUCCCAUUCUAGUAUUACAACAUGUAUCCAACAGAAUAUUUGAGAAGAGUAGAAUUUUCCAUAUGUUGUAAUCCCAUUUUAGUAUUACAACAUGUAUCCGCAGAAUAUUUGAGAAGAGUAGAAUUUUCCAUAUGUUGUAAUCCAAUUUUAUUAUUACAGCAUAAAGACCGCAGAAAAACAAUAGACAAC
rnacentral:lncRNA from 1 species